rnacentral:rRNA from 1 species
UACGAAGGGGGCUAGCGUUGCUCGGAAUCACUGGGCGUAAAGGGCGCGUAGGCGGCCAUUCAAGUCAGAGGUGAAAGCCCAAGGCUCAACCUUGGAAUUGCCUUUGAUACUGUUUGGCUUGAGACCGGAAGAGGUUAGUGGAACUGCGAGUGUAGAGGUGAAAUUCGUAGAUAUUCGGAAGAACACCAGUGGCGAAGGCGACUAACUGGACAUGUAUUGACGCUGAGGUGCGAAAGCGUGGGGAGCAAACAGG